UUCUUAGUUUAAUCCUUCUAUAAAUCUACAUAACUACUUCAAAUCUUUUUAUACCAAGUUAACUAAAAUUUGUUUUUACAGCUGCUGUGAGUGUAAAUCUGUUUGAGUAUGUUUAUAUAAACUUAACCUAAUUCGAUCACUUGCCAAGAUACUGAUUAGGUUCCCUGUAUCUGAUUUUAAUCACUUAUGUUGCGCUUUUUUCCUUUAGAAGCACUACUGCUUUGGAGACCAUGGCAGGGUUUGCUCAUUUGGAAACUGUUGUAUUUGGUUGCCAAUCGUAAUACUGCUGAUUGUACCCCAAGGAAUAUAAAUUUCCAACCCUUCCCUGCCAUGCCUCAUGUCCCAGAUGUGUGAGUGACUGGUCCCUGGAAAGAUCUGUGCUCCACUUGAGAACAUGGGAAGUAGCUUGACAGGUAAUCNNNNNNNNNNNNNNNNNNNNNNNNNCCCCCCAGCCUUGCUACAGCAUUCGGUGGUCUAAUUCCAUAUUCUCUAUAUUCAGGCUGGUACAAUAUUUGAAAACUUUUGACAUCUUUGUUAUCAUUCAGUAUAGCAAAGAUUUUUCAUAUUUAGAGUGAAAUCAUUUUUCAAAUGGUAAAUUAAAACACUUUUAGAGAUUUGAAAUACUUGCAGUCUUGGAUGCUCUCUAGUUGUAUAUUCUUGCAGUCAGGAGGAGAAAAGAACUGUUCUCCAUUUUAUAGUCCAUAAUUGAGGUUUGGGUUGGGAUUUUAAAGUGUAUGCUAUGGAACUGCCCACUGUCAUAAUUAUUUCUUUGUUUUUAUUUCCCCCUGACUGGAACUGGCACCAUAAUGAUGCCCAUUAGGAUGCCAGGGAACAUGAACAGCAGCUGAUUAUUCUGUCAGGUGAUGAUGUUUUGGCUGCAGGUUUUCACUUGGGGAAAAAUGAAGUACCCUGGCACCCUCAAUGAACUAUGUUUAUGAUUCCUGUAAGGAUGAGGUAACUGCUUGGACAUGUGUUGCUGCUCUUUCUGGUCUUUCCAUGCCCACUAGAUUUAAAAAUGUGGCAGGAGGAAGACUGUAAUGAAGAAGUAUUGAGUAUUGUAUGUACCAGAUGAGGCAGUAAUGUUGCAGAGGCACACAUUUUUUUUUCUUUUUUUUUUUCAUUAAACAUAAUCUAAUGGCAGGGCAGGUUUUCAUGAGGAUACUGUGCCUUUUGGCAGUUGCUCUUGGUUAGGUUAAACUGAAAUUGUGCUCAUAGAGUAUGCUGUGUUAAAUCUGAUGUAGAGGCAGGGGAGUCUUUGUAGCUCUUGUAUCUGUGGAUUAGGUUAAGAAAUCCUAGAGCCCAUUUUCUUGUUUGGGCCAAAUAAGGAAUGAGUGAGCUCAGGGUACUUCUUUCC
rnacentral:lncRNA from 1 species